GACGAACGCUGGCGGCGUGCUUAACACAUGCAAGUCGAACGGUGAAGCGCCUUCCUUUUUGGUGGGUGUGGAUGAGUGGCGAACGGGUGAGUAACACGUGAGUAACCUGCCCCCUUCUUCUGGAUAACCGCAUGAAAGUGUGGCUAAUACGGGAUAUUCUGUGCCUGCUGCAUGGUGGGUGUGGGAAAGAUUGCGCUUUUUUGGUGUUUUUGGUGGGGGAUGGGCUCGCGGCCUAUCAGCUUGUUGGUGGGGUGAUGGCCUACCAAGGCGGUGACGGGUAGCCGGCCUGAGAGGGUGGACGGUCACACUGGGACUGAGACACGGCCCAGACUCCUACGGGAGGCAGCAGUGGGGAAUAUUGCACAAUGGGGCGCAAGCCCUGAUGCAGCGACGCCGCGUGAGGGAAUGGAAGGCCCUUUCGGGUUGUGAACCUUCUUUCGC
rnacentral:rRNA from 1 species